CACAAAUCUCUCUUAAGCCACCACGAUUCUAUCUCUUAAUCCACCACGAAUCUCUCCUUCCAUCUCAAACCACCACAAAUCUGUGUAAGCCACCACUAUUCCAUCUCAUACCAUCACAACUCUCUCCGACCUUCUCCACCGCCACCAUUUAGGUUACAGAGUUCUCUGUCCUUACAGAUCCACAAAGAUUUGAAGCCUUACAGAUCUCAAAGAUAUCUCAAUUUCCAGCAACUCUAAUGGAAGCAAGGAAGGUCAUCGUAUGUGCACUCCCGGCAGCCGGAGUGAAACCACAACUCAAACCAGAACAGCCACAACAAGAAGCAGUCAACACAGCUCCACCACAACGAGGACAGUCCUCACGAGGAAAUGAUGUAGAUGAGAUAACUAGAGCCGAGUUCAGAAGCUAUCGGUUGAU